rnacentral:rRNA from 1 species
UACGAAGGGGGCUAGCGUUGCUCGGAAUCACUGGGCGUAAAGGGUGCGUAGGCGGCGCGGUAAGUCGGGUGUGAAAUCUCGGGGCUUAACUCCGAAACUGCAUUCGAUACUGCCGUGCUUGAGGACUGGAGAGGAGACUGGAAAUUUACGGUGUAGCGGUGAAUGCGUAGAUAUCGUAAGGAAGACCAGUGGCGAAGGCGGGUCUC